rnacentral:lncRNA from 1 species
AAUAAUCCAGAUCAUUCUCGCAAAUUAUGCAAAGACCAUGGCUCAUACUUCGCUAAGAAGCAUUUGGCCAGCAUGGGCAUCUCAUGCAUCGAGCAACUGAAAGCACAAAACUCCACAGCAAUCCUGGAUUAUUGUCACUAACUCACCACAACCUCCAUCUCAUGCAUCAAGCAACUGAAAGCACAAAACUCCACAGCAAUCCUGGAUUAUUGUCACUAACUCACCACAACCUCCAUACAUCAAGCAAGCCAUUAUUCGAAAACAAAAAACAUCCACCGGAUUUAUUGCACAGGCAGCAUGAUCUAAAGUUGAAACCCCCUCCACUCACAUGUGAUAGUUGAGGUCACUGCCAAUGCAGCGAUCCAGAGCAAACACAUCAUGGAGACACCAAGGGAUUGAACACAUGACCGACGAAUAGCACCACGCCUGUGAGGUCUUCUCGGAUAAGGAAGAGGAAAGGGUGAUCCGCGACGAAAUCCACCUUCACGGGCUCUACUGGCAGUGACCUAAGUGUGACCACAGAAGCAGUUGCC